GUGUUGAUGUAACCGCUCUGUGAUUCGCAGAGAGGAAAGUCCAUGCUCACACAGGCUGAGACGCUUGUAGUGUUCGUGCUUGACGAAACCAUAAGUCAAGGUAGUUAACUAAAGGUUAGCUAACGGCAGGGAAACAAUCUAAGUCUAUGGAUAUGAUUGGAUUACCUUUAAAGUGCCACAGUGACGAUUUUGAUUGGAAACAAUCAAAGUGGAACGAGGUAAACCCCACGAGUGAGCAACCCAAAAAAUGGUAGGGGCACUUUCUGCAGGGAAUUCAACCUAGCAGAGAGGCAAGUUAUAAGCUUGCAGAUAGAUGGUUACGACUGGAGUACGAGGUUGACCGCCGAUUGUAGUACGAAGGUACAGAACAUGGCUUACGA
rnacentral:RNase_P_RNA from 1 species